rnacentral:sRNA from 1 species
GCUGCCGCAAAAUCGGCAGCCGGGCGUGGAAACCUGAAUAAUCUAACGGCGACACCAGACGCGCCUUGCGUCUUUUUU